GGAGAGUUGCGAGAGUGGUUGAAUCGGGCGGACUCGAAAUCCGUUGUACAGUUCUGCUGUACCGAGGGUUCGAAUCCCUCACUCUCCG
rnacentral:tRNA from 3 species